CCGGAACCACUAAUGUAUACAAGGCUUAGCUGAGCCAACUUUCUAACCAACAGCAAAGGAAAGUUUGUGGUGUAAUUGCAUUUGCACUCCUGGUGUUAUCAACACAUAUUUUGCGGUUUUGCCCAUGCGGAAGUAUUUCCUGUAAGAUGUUAGCUUGUUCAGGUCUGGUGGAUGCUAUAGUGACAGUCUGAAACUGGACACUGAAAUGAUGGCAGAGGAAAAACCGGAAGUAUGAGGACCAAUGACGAUGACAUUCCAAACUGUUUUCUUGUGUGGUCAUAUCCUUGAUAGGUCUCCGUACAAGUGUACACACCGUCAGACUUUGAACUUUGCAGUGAUGGCGAUGUACUCUACUUUGACUCUGAAGAGCCGCCCAUCGGAAUAGAAUCUCAACUAGCAUCAUCUAGCGCUAAACGAGAUGAGACUUCUUUUUUCGGUAAGAGUCUUAUCUAAUAAUUGUUUAGUCAUUACGUACGCAUAGCUAGUGUGCGUACCAACCCUAGCCUGAUCGGUAUAAUACUAGUAAAUGCUCGGUUAGCAUUGUGUUUGGCGAGCGAUGGUGUUCUAUCUGUACCUAUUGAGUGAUAAUUCGUGUAACAAUGGUUGCGUUACGUGGCAAUAGUUUCUGUCAAACAAACGCGGGAACUAAGGAAACAGACUUUCAGUUGCUCUUCUAUAGUAUUUGGCGUUCAAUUAUCCGAAUUGGGCGUUCAAUUAUCCGAUUCAGGCGUUCAAUUAUCCGUUCCUUACGGCUGUUGUGCAAUA